rnacentral:rRNA from 1 species
GAUGAACGCUGGCGGCGUGCCUAAUACAUGCAAGUCGAGCGAACGGACGAGAAGCUUGCUUCUCUGAUGUUAGCGGCGGACGGGUGAGUAACACGUGGAUAACCUACCUAUACGACUGGGAUAACUUCGGGAAACCGGAGCUAAUACCGGAUAAUCUUUUGAACCGCAUGGUUCAAAAGUGAAAGACGGUCUUGCUGUCACUUAUAGAUGGAUCCGCGCUGCAUUAGCUAGUUGGUAAGGUAACGGCUUACCAAGGCAACGAUGCAUAGCCGACCUGAGAGUGUGAUCGGCCACACUGGAACUGAGACACGGUCCAGACUCCUACGGGAGGCAGCAGUAGGGAAUCUUCCGCAAGGGGCGAAAGCGUGACGGAGCAACGCCGCGUGAGUGAUGAAGGUCUUCGGAUCGUAAAACUCUGUUAGUAGGGAAGAACAUAUGUGUAAGUAACUGUGCACAUCUUGACGGUACCUAAUCAGAAAGCCACGGCUAACUACGUG